ensembl:lncRNA
CGCCAAUCGGACAGCUCCGGCCACGCCCCCGGGGCGCUAGCCCGCAGCCAAUGAGCAACUAGAGCCCGGCUGGGAGCUGCGCCGGCCAAUCACAGAGGCCGAGGACGCCUUGAAUCUCCGGGCAAGUUAAGUUUGUCUCCGAGGCUCCGAACUGAAGGGAGCUGGCGGGUUAGUUAGGUAGUGAAGUGGGAGGGAAUAUAGUUUGUGCUGCUCCGCCAAUAGGAGAAAGAGGGUGUGUUGUAUGCAAAUUAUCCCGGGGAGCCCAGCCCCUUAUCUAAGGCAGGCCACGCCCCCUUCCCUAGGUCCCUGCAGAAAUGGUGAGGAGGGUGAGAAAAAUAACUGGGAGCUAGAGCUCGCUAGCGGGUCUAAGACUGAGCUAAAAAUUUCCUGAUUUCUUGAGAAAGGUUGGGAAGGGAGGGGGAACUGAAACGUUCAUACCAUCAGGGCAGCGGUUAGGCUUUCUCUCAGCCACAAUCUUAGCUUAGCUGUAAGGAAGACUGCAGUCACGUAGCACUUUGCUUCCAGGGAUCUCAAAGAACUUUAUGCAUCAUUUAUCGUGACCCUUGUUUUACAAAAGACCAGUUACCUGAGGUUUGGGCGGGGGUUAGGGGAUAGAUGUUUGAGGUAUAUUUACACCAUUAAUCGAGUGAGGGGGAAAAAAGACAAAACCUCUGGUUUAGCGGUUUUCUCCUCGAUCUGAAGCCCCUUCUCGCAGUCAUCUCAGCAAUGAAACUUCCUUUAUUUGUCCAGCACGAGAGGGCCAAAGAAACAGGUUUAUCCUCUUCACCCAAAAGCCCUUUCUGAGACGGCUGGCCAGACACACACAGAGCACAGAGCCCUGCUUGGGAAGGAAGGUUCAGAGAACAAAUUGCCUUUUAAAACUGUUGGGCUGGACCUGCCUCUUCCAAAGCUAAAAAUGGUGAGUCAGGAUUUUGGCGUCCAUGCUCUGGGGAGAGAAGGCAGAUGUAAUUGGGGAAAGCUCUGGCUGGCAGGGUGUUGGGGUACAGGCGAGUUGGGGAGCCAGGUCUCCCAAGGGGGCCAGCAAUGCGCGUGCUAGUCGAUUGCGGGCUCCCGACGCGAGACACCCCAAAACCUGCUCCCCAGUGAGAACAAAGGCAGGCGCGGAGCGAGAACCUGAUUGGUGCCCGGUCCUCACCGGUGUCCUCCGGGCCCCGGAGAUAACUUGCUUCACCCACUGGCGCGGAGCUCCGUCUCACUGGAGCCCCAGCUCCCCACCCGGCCUUGGCUGUGACCACACAGGACUGUGCGUUAUGACAUCACCUGUUUUCGCUCUUUAGAACACGAUCAGUAUUCUCGGCUUCUCCUUUUUUAAAGGUCUCUAGUGCACAAGGAUUUGCGAAGGCCUGCCGUUCACAGAAUGAAUCUGUGGAGAUGAUUUAAAAGAACGGUUUGCAUUUCUGUCUUUUCUUUUUAAUUUAAAAGACUACCCUGGUUUCCUUAGGGAUUCAGUGUGGUGUUGUGAUGCAAAAUCAGAAAGACUUCUUUUUCUUUCUCUGGGGGCCACCCAAAGCCUUUGGAUUGCAGGUGCUUCAACAACAUCAUUCUACCCGGAUUCCAGAGUGAGAUCAGACUCAAGUCUGGCCACAUGGCACAAAUGGACAACCCAUACAUUUGGAGAGACUCCAAGAAAUCCAUCCGAAGCUCUGAAUGGUCCUGGCCCUGUUCCAAAAUUUUACUAACCUUCCACAAAUUGGGAUUCCAGACACGUUCUUACCUUGGCCUCCAGGAUAAUGGAAGCCACAAAAGAGACAGAAAUUAAAAUGUCAGCCCAGCUGGGCCCCACAAUGUGGGCCAGCAAUUACAGUGGAACCCACUGCCUCUUAGAUCACCUUAGUGCAGAACAUCUGUGUUUCCUGCAACAAAGAUAAUAAAAUAAUCCAGAGCCCUGUCUUACAUGUUCCUUAACUCUGCGUAAAUACAGUGCGCUACUUAACAAUAGCAACCAAGAUGUUAAUGCACAACAGGAAAAUGUUCAAAAUCAGGUGAAAAGCAGAGAUCAGAAUUCCAGCAAGCUUUGUAAUUCAGCCACCACCCUCAUCACUCAGGACCUAAAUAACCUGAAAUAUGUGAUCGAGGCUGGAGAGGCAAGUAAAACAUGGCUUUGUUAUUCUCUGCCUGAGAAGGGUAUCACCCAAACCUUCUCACUUACUAAAGAUUCUGACAGAUGAGUAGUAUGCCAUGUCCUUGCAGAUGGAGAAAAGAAUAUCCACAGCAAAGGUGACACCUUCGAGGUCAUACACUUUGUGGGAUCAUGACAGAAGUUCAAAACAUCAACUUGAAAAAGACAAGUGAAACUGAGGACCAAAGUUGGAAGUAUGGGUGACAGAAGGGAUUAAAUGGUGUGGGAAUGAAGACAUUGCCAAUCUCCUCACUUUCUCCUUUUUUAUUCUUGAUAGACCCCACCACUGACAGAAGCUGAAGUAAUCUGUUGUUUUCUGGGCUCUGAAGGUGCUGAUUUCAGUGUCUGUGAUGUUACAUCCGAGAGUCUUUGCUGGGUUUGAAACUGAGUGCUCCAAGCAAGUGGAUACCUUUUCUUCUUCUGCUAUCCCAGGGAAACACUGAGAUUAUUUCAGCAAAAAUAACGUUUCUGCCAAUCUGCAUCAUAACUCAGAGAGGCAGCUGGUCAAGUUAGCAAAGAAAACUGAUAUUUAGUCCUAAAGGAGCUUGGUUAAACUUUCGCUUUGUCUUUUUAUAUUUUGAUACAACAGUAUGGAGAUAGGUUAUCUUCUUACAGUAUUUGUCACCUGCUUUGUGAUUAUUUUUUUACUUGGAUGCCUUCUCCAUGAGAUUAUAUGCUUGAUAAGGACAGUUUUCCUCACCAUUGUAUCAUCAAUACAAUAAACAUUUUUGUUAAGAGAUGAAUAAAGAAAGUCAAUGCAGGGGGCCAGCCCAGUGGCAUAGUAGUUAAGUUUGUGCACUCUGCUUCCUCAGUCCAGGGUUUGUGGGUUCAGAUCCCAGGUAAGGACCUACACACCACUUAUCAAGCUGUGGUGGUGACCCACAUACAAAAGAGAGGAAGAUUAGCACAGACGUUAGGGCCAAUCUUCCUCACAAAUAAAUAAAUAAAAAGCUCCAUAUGAAGGGAGUGAUUAUGACUCUGUUCAUUCAUUCAAUAAAUAUUUAUUGAGCACCUACAAUAUACAGGCACAUCUUCUUUCCAGGCUUUAUGUUUAGACCAUUUUUUGAACUGUUUCUCAUGUCAUGGGAAUUCUGGACAAAUGCUGGUGUUCCUUCCUUAGAAGGACUCCACUGUGUUGAGGCGUCCCCCUUAAAAUACAGCUUCCAGAGCAGAGCAUGAUAACAUCCAUUCAUUAGUGUUACACAUUCUUGAAGUGCCAGCCAUGUGCCAGGCAUGAAGGUAACAGCGAUGAAUCAGAUACAGUUUUGUGCUCAGAGGACUCACUGCCCAGAAGGAGGAGGUUGCCCAGUAAACAAGAUAGUACAGCACAGGAAGCGACAGCAGAACCCGAAUGAUGGAAUGGCCAAUUCUCCUUGGAGAGGGGAAUCUGGAAAUGCUUCCCACACAGGGGAGGUGAAUCAGGAUAAGAGUGUGGACUUCUGACAGGUGGAUGGAGCUGGGAGAGGGUAUUCCAGAAAGAGUCAGCUGCCUGAGCAAAUGCAGGGAGGAAUGAAAUAGCCUAGUGAGUUCAAGGAACUGCAACGGCUUUGACAGGGCAGGAAUGUGGGUUGUGAGAUGGGGGUACAAAAGAGGUAUGACCAGAAAGUUAGGCAGGGUAGAGCUUUGAAUGCCAAACUGAGAAGCUUGGAUUUUUUUCCUACAAGGUGAUAAGGAGUCUCUAAUGUUUCUAGAGAAGGGAGAUAACACGAUUAGGUUUACAUUGUAGAAAGACACUUUGAAGGUGUGUGGCCUGGGGGCUGGACCUCUAGGAAACUGAGUCAGGGAGACCAGCUGAGAGACCAGAUCAUCUGGGUGAGAGAUGCAAUGGGAUUCCAUGUGGGCAAUAGCUGUGAGGAUGGAAAGAAGGGGAUGGUCUAAGGCAGUGAAGACUCAUGGGCAGGCUGUGCUGCAGGACUUGGCUACUCAAAGUGGG